rnacentral:rRNA from 1 species
UUGAAUCAAUUUAUUCUGAAGAUGGAAUUUUUAUUAGUGUUUAUAAUUUAAAUGUAAUUUUUUAAAAUAUUGAAAUUUGAUUAAUUUUAUGAAAAAAUUUUUUUUAUGAUAGAUAAUUUGUAUUGUGAAAGAGGAAUUGGAAUUAUAAUAAAGAAGAAUUUAUUUUUCGUACCUUGUGUAUCAGGGUUGAUUAAAUUAUUAAUAAAAAUUUAUAUAUCUCGAAUCUAAAAGAGCUAAAGCUUUAUUUUGUAAAUGUUACAUAAUUUUAUAUAAUUUAACUUUAGUAAUGAAAUGUUAUUCGUUUUUUGAUAUAUCUAGUUUUUUGGGAAACAAAUUUAAUUUGUUUAUUUUUAUAAAUUGUUUUUAAUAAUUAAUGAAAUUUUGAGAAUAUUUUAUCUUUUUAGGGAAAAGCUUGGAAAGAUAAAUUUAUUUAGUUUAUAAUAAUAAUAUUGUAAGUAGGGUUACAAGUUCCCGUCUUUUGUAAAAUGUUAUAGUUAACUUAUUACAAGUUGUUAUUUUUAUUUUUAAUAAAUUUUAUACCAAAAUUUUAAAUUUAAUUUUAUAAUUUAAGGAAUAAUGAUUAAAUUAGUAUAUUUAUUGUAGAUUUAUAAAAAAUUAGAAGUUAUAAAUAAUGAAUUCGGCAAUUUUAUUUUUCACCUGUUUAUUAAAAACAUGUCCUUUUGUGUAUUAUUUAAGGUCGGGCCUGCUCAAUGACUAGAUUGAAUAGCUGCAGUAUUUUGACUGUACUAAGGUAGCAUAAUCAUUAGUUUCUUAAUUGGUAACUGGAAUGAAGGGUUUGAUGAAAAAAAGACUGUCUCUUUUAUAAAUAUAGAAAUUUAUUUUUAAGUAAAAAAGCUUAAAUGUAAAUAAAAGACGAGAAGACCCUAUAGAGUUUAAUAAUUUAUUAAUUUAAUUUUUAGGAAAGAAAUGAAUUUAGAUUAAAAUAAUUAUUUGGUUGGGGUGACUUUAAAAUUUAAUAAACUUUUAUUUAUUAAUACUAAAAUUAAAGGUUGAUUUGAUCCAUUAUUAAUGAUUAUAAGAAUAAAUUACCUUAGGGAUAACAGCGUAAUCUUUUUUUAGAGCUCUAAUCGAUAAAAAGGAUUGCGACCUCGAUGUUGGAUUAAAAUUAACUUUUGGGUGCAAAAGCCAAAUGGUUGAGUCUGUUCGACUCUUAAAAUUUUACAUGAUCUGAGUUUAAACCGGUGUGAGCCAGGUUGGUUUCUAUCUUUAAAUAGAGUAAAAAAUUUUAGUACGAAAGGACCAAAUUUU